rnacentral:rRNA from 1 species
UACGGAGGAUGCGAGCGUUAUCCGGAUUUAUUGGGCGUAAAGGGAACGCAGGCGGUCUUUUAAGUCUGAUGUGAAAGCCUUCGGCUUAACCGAAGAAGUGCAUCGGAAACCGGGCGACUUGAGUGCAGAAGAGGACAGUGGAACUCCAUGUGUAGCGGUGGAAUGCGUAGAUAUAUGGAAGAACACCAGUGGCGAAGGCGGCUGUCUGGUCUGCAACUGACGCUGAGGCUCGAAAGCAUGGGUAGCGAACAGG